UGGGGAAUAUUGCACAAUGGGCGCAAGCCUGAUCCAGCCAUGCCGCGUGCGGGAAGAAGGCCUUCGGGUUGUAAACCGCUUUUGUCAGGGAAGAAAUCCUUUGAGCUAAUACCUCGGGGGGAUGACGGUACCUGAAGAAUAAGCACCGGCUAACUACGUGCCAGCAGCCGCGGUAAUACGUAGGGUGCGAGCGUUAAUCGGAAUUACUGGGCGUAAAGCGUGCGCAGGCGGUUUUGUAAGACAGAGGUGAAAUCCCCGGGCUCAACCUGGGAACUGCCUUUGUGACUGCAAGGCUGGAGUGCGGCAGAGGGGGAUGGAAUGCCGCGUGUAGCAGUGAAAUGCGUAGAUAUGCGGAGGAACACCGAUGGCGAAGGCAAUCCCGUGGGUCUGCACUGACGCUCAUGCACGUAAGCGUGGGGAGAAAAAA
rnacentral:rRNA from 1 species